GACGAACGCUGGCGGCGUGCCUAAUACAUGCAAGUCGAACGCUGACGGAGGAGCUUGCUUCUCUGGACGAGUUGCGAACGGGUGAGUAACGCGUAGGUAACCUGCCUGGUAGUGGGGGAUAAUUAUUGGUAAAGAUAGCUACUACCACAUAAUAGCAGCUGUUGCACAAUAACUGUUUGAAAGGUGCCAUUGCACCGCUACUAGACGGAGCUGCGUUGGAUUAGUUAGUUGGUGGGGUAACGGCUCACCCAGGCGACGAUACCUAGCCGGACUGAGAGGGUGAACGGCCACACUGGGACUGGGACACGGCCCAGACUCCUACGGGAGGCAGCAGUAGGGAAUCUUCGGCAAGGGACGGAAGGCUGACCGAGGAACGCCGCGUGAGAGAAGGAGGGUUUCGGGUCUGAAAGCUCUGUUGUGAGGGGAGAACGGGUGUGAGAGUGGAAAGUUCACACAUUGACGGUAUCUGAACAGAAAGGGACGGCUAACUACGUG
rnacentral:rRNA from 1 species